GGGCCGGGCCGGCGUCGCCGUCUCCGUGCGACCCGACGCACUUCCUCCCGCCCCCUGGACGCCGCAGCCGGUCGGGUAGAUCGUCGAGUCGGCCUUAAGGACGGGCACCGGAAGGUGGCCGGUGGCGUUCCCUCACGGGUUCGCCGCCGGUCGUUAUCCAGCUCGCCCGAGGCGCGACACCCGACCGAGGUCGAAGGUCCACGUUAGGACCACGCCGCCCCCUCUAAUACGGAGCAGGAGCGCCGGCAGGCGAUUCCCCGGCAGGACGACCCACUCUCCGAGUGGCCGUCCGUCGGGUGGCGCGGUUGGCACGGACGUUUCCUGCGUGGGGUU
rnacentral:rRNA from 1 species